rnacentral:rRNA from 1 species
UACGUAGGGUGCGAGCGUUGUCCGGAAUUAUUGGGCGUAAAGAGCUCGUAGGCGGUCUGUCGCGUCGGUCGUGAAAACUUGGGGCUUAACCCUGAGCUUGCGGUCGAUACGGGCAUGACUGGAGUUCGGCAGGGGAGACUGGAAUUCCUGGUGUAGCGGUGGAAUGCGCAGAUAUCAGGAGGAACACCGGUGGCGAAGGCGGGUCUCUGGGCAACUACUGACGCUGAGGAGCGAAAGCGUGGGGAGCGAACAGG